UUGAACGCUGGCGGCAUGCUUUACACAUGCAAGUCGAACGGCAGCGGGGGCUUCGGCCUGCCGGCGAGUGGCGAACGGGUGAGUAAUGCAUCGGAACGUACCCAGUCGUGGGGGAUAACUACGCGAAAGCGUAGCUAAUACCGCAUACGCCCUGAGGGUGAAAGCGGGGGAUCGCAAGACCUCGCGCGACAGGAGCGGCCGAUAUCGGAUUAGCUAGUUGGUGAGGUAAAGGCUCACCAAGGCGACGAUCCGUAGCUGGUCUGAGAGGACGACCAGCCACACUGGAACUGGGACACGGUCCAGACUCCUACGGGAGGCAGCAGUGGGGAAUUUUGGACAAUGGGCGCAAGCCUGAUCCAGCCAUGCCGCGUGAGUGAAGAAGGCCUUCGGGUUGUAAAGCUCUUUCAGACGGAAAGAAAUCGGGCGCGUGAAUAGCGUGCCUGGAUGACGGUACUGUCAGAAGAAGCACCGGCUAACUACGU
rnacentral:rRNA from 1 species